rnacentral:snRNA from 1 species
ACAUUUAUUCUAUUUGAUCCGCU